rnacentral:rRNA from 1 species
AGGGAAUCUUCCGCAAUGGACGCAAGUCUGAUGGAGCAACGCCGCGUGAGUGAAGAAGGUUUUCGGACCGUAAAGCUCUGUUGUUGGUGAAGAAGGAUAGAGGUAGUAACUGGCCUUUAUUUGACGGUAAUCAACCAGAAAGUCACGGCUAACUACGUGCCAGCAGCCGCGGUAAUACGUAGGUGGCAAGCGUUGUCCGGAUUUAUUGGGCGUAAAGCGAGCGCAGGCGGAAGAAUAAGUCUGAUGUGAAAGCCCUCGGCUUAACCGAGGAAUUGCAUCGGAAACUGUUUUCUUGAGUGCAGAAGAGGAGAGUAGAACUCCAUGUGUAGCGGUGGAAUGCGUAGAUAUAUGGAAGAAUACCAGUGGCGAAGGCGGCUCUCUGGUCUGCAACUGACGCUGAGGCUCGAAAGCAUGGGUAGCGAACAGGAUUAGAUACCCUGGUAGUCCAUGCCGUAAACGAUGAGUGCUAAGUGUUGGGAGGCUUCCGCCUCUCAGUGCUGCAGCUAACGCAUUAAGCACUCCGCCUGGGGGAGUACGACCGCAAGGUUGAAAC